GCCUCAUUUUCUGUUGCCUUGCGAAUUGCUUAUUUUGAUUUUAUUUUCGACGACCUCAGCACGAUCCACGGACUUCUGAUUCCUCACGACAUCGAAUCGCGUAUUUGGACAAAGAUUGUAUCUACUUUCGACAACUUGGCACUGCAUAUUGGACAACGUUUUCUUCCCUACACGACGACCCCUGCGCUGACCAUUGGACUUAUAAACGAGUAAAUUAAGAUCACAGACACCAUGGAACUGGAACCUGGAAACGCUCGAAGGGACAUAGAAUAUUAUAGGGAUGGCCUCCUUUGCUUUGUACCGUCGUGUAAGAAACACAGACGUGAUUUUCCGACCUCUGCUUAUUUAAGCAUACCAAAGUCAUUACAAGCGAUUUGGUGCCAAGCAUUGGGGAUAUAUUGCCCAAAAAGAAACUUAUAUGUCUGUCAGGACCAUAUCAAUAUCGUAGAAGAUUGCUAUAGAAGCAAAUCUGGCAAGUUACACCUGAAAAAGACUGCAAAUUUGAUAUUAACCAAAACUUAUGAUGAGAAUGAAAUGCUGAUUGACGAAAGCAACCUUACUCAAGAUCUGUCUACAGCAACAAUGGCAAUGUUUCAUAAUGGAAACACGCCUAACAAUCU